rnacentral:rRNA from 1 species
UACGGGGGGGGCAAGCGCUGUUCGGAAUUACUGGGCGUAAAGGGCGCGUAGGCGGCUUUAUAAGUCGGGGGUGAAAGCCUGUGGCUCAACCACAGAAUUGCCUUCGAUACUGUAGAGCUUGAGACCGGAAGAGGUAAGUGGAACUGCGAGUGUAGAGGUGAAAUUCGUAGAUAUUCGCAAGAACACCAGUGGCGAAGGCGGCUUACUGGUCCGGUUCUGACGCUGAGGCGCGAAAGCGUGGGGAGCAAACAGG